ACCCGAAUGUGGACAUUUUCUAAUCAACUCCUUGAACUGCUCUCAUGCCUCAUGAAACUCUUCAUUAGGUUUUUGGGCAAAAGAUAAAAUCUGAGUUCUCAUGUC